ensembl:antisense Fbxl12os F-box and leucine-rich repeat protein 12, opposite strand
UUUGCCGCACGUCAGCAAUUGUUUUGUCUGCAAAGGCUCCAAACCUUUACCAUUUUCCUUUCUUCUUAUUUUUUUAAAUCACAAAGAAAUGAUAUUUUCGCCGUUGGAUACACGUUAAAGGGUGUGCCGAGUGUUCUUCCACAUCAUGGACCUGGCACCUGCCACCUGCACGGGUGAGCGCUGGGAGGAGAGAUUAGGCUCAGGAGUGGGGAUGUGUACUCUGCCUCUGCUGAGCCCUGGAUUCCUCCUCCAAGCGUUGGCAACAAAAUUAAAAAACUAUAGAUACAUAUUUUAUGUAUAUUUUUAUUUAUAUUGGCUGUAUGUACAUAUAUGUGCUUAAGUGAUUCAAGAGGACCUCUUCAAUUUUUAGGCAAAUGUUUUUGUUAAUUUUUACUACAUUUUAAUUGAACUCAUUACAUGCAAAAUACUAAUAAAUAUAGACAAUAAAAAUAAGUAAUGAGAGGGCAGAAGAGAUAGCUGAUGUGUAAGAGAGCUUGCUGCUCUUCCAGAGGGCCCGAAGUCAGUUCCUAGUAUGCACAUGGAGGCUCACAACCAACUAAAUCUCUGCUUGGUAUCCAAGGACCUCUUCUGAACCCUGAAAAUACCUGCGCAAAUGGUACACACACACACACAGUAGAAAAUUUUUAAAUGAAUUUAAAAAAUAACGAUACACUUUUUAAAAUAAAUUUUAAGAAUCAUAUCUAUACCUACAUACUAAUUCCUGACUAGCCAUACUUCAGAUCUCAGUAAUUUAUACAUAUUUAUCAUAAUUUUAUUUUUUGUGUGAUUGUGUGUACAUGUGCAGACACAUGACACACUUGUAGAGGUCAGAGAACAACUUACAAGUAUUGGUUCUCUCUUACCAUAUGGGGAGUGUAUGAGUGGGUCAAGCUCAACUCAUCAGGCUUGGUUUUAUCAGCUGAGCUGAACUAUCUUAUUGGUCCCAUUUAUUGUUUGUUUUGGUUUUCUUCUUUUGGGUUUUUUGGUCUUUUUGAGAUGGAGGCUUACUAUGUAGCCUUGGCUGGCCUGCAACUUGCUAUGCAGAUGAGUCUGGCCUUGAACUCACAAAGAACAAUAAAUACAUUUAAAAAAAAUAAAUAAAUCGUAGAAAUUAUUUCUGGAAUUUUCUGUAUAGUGUUUUUGGUUUCCACUUGAUGGUGAAUUUCUUAACCUUUAGAAAUGAAUAUUGUGGGUAUGAGGUGACUUCUAUAAUUUGUGAGUAUGUGAAUAUUACUGUGCCUGGCUUUACAUAGAGUCUGAAGAUUUAAACUCCAAUUUUGUUUUGUUUUUUAAAGAUUGAUUGAUUGAUUGAUUGUAUAUGAGUAAACUGUAGCUGUCUUCGGACACACCAGAGGAGGGCAUUGUAUCCCAUCACAGAUGGUUGUGAGCCACCAUGUUGUUGCUGGGAUUUGAACUCAGGACCUCUGUAAGAGCAGUCAGUGCUCUUAACCACUGAGCCAUCUCUCCAGCUCCUGAACUCCAGUUCUAAUGCUUGUGCAGUAGAUGUUUUGUCCAUUAAGCCUUCUCCCCAUAUUAGAUAUUUUUGUUUGGUUGGUUUUCUUACUUUUUAUAAUUACAUGUAUGCAGAUGCAUGUGUGUGAUCAUGGACAUACAUGUGCUACAGUGUAUGCAUGUCCAUUCUCUCCUGCAACUGUGGAUUCCAGGAACUGAACUCAGGUCAUCGAACUUGCACAGCAAAUGUUUUUAUCCACUGAGCUAUCGCCUUAGCCUCCCUGCAGGAAGCCACAAUGACUGGCAACUCUGUGGUUGUAUGCAACAUAAGGAUAUCUUCAGCGAGCACUCAUAUUUUAAGAGGCAUUGUGUAAACUGGAAACUCAAGGAACCCCUGUGACUCUCAUCAGUGUGGAGUGCACCCUCCCACGAGACAGGAGCUUUCUCUGUAGAAUCAGCUUGUAGGAGACUUUAAUGUGAUCCCCAAUGUUACUCACCAGAAAACAGGCUUGUGGGACAAAUCUGUUGAAUGCACCAACUUCCUUAAUCAGUUAUAUUUUAAGGCACAUAUGAGAAUCCAUAAUGGAAAAAAAUUCUUUGAAUUGACUCAAUUUUCAGGAGAUUUUACAUGUUCUACAAGGGGAGUUCUGCCUAUCAAAUGUACACCAUAAAAGCCUUUGAAUG